GUCUUCUUUCUUUUCCCUCCUUCCAAACCCUAAAAUUAUUUGACUUCCCUCCCAUCCACAGUUUCGCAAGCGAGGUUUGCAAGCGAUGAACAAGAUUUGUUUCUUUCAACAGGUAUCUAUCUCUCUCGCGCCCAUCGAUUCAGAAUUUCAGAAGUUAGUUUGCGAAUUUCAUUACUUGAACCAAAGGUUUGAUUAUUUUUAGUGUUAAGUUAUGUAUGUGGAUGAUAUAAAUUGACAUCAGAUGAAGAAAUCAAAAGUUUUAAGUUGGCUUCUUGAAGUAUUAUUUGCAUUCAGGAGUAUCCCUAAAUCAUAUGGUAUAGAUUGAUUUCAUUGCUGCAGAGGAAUUGUCUAGAGAUCACAGGGAUGCCUUCAUGGAAUUUGUCAAAGAAAAGGUUCACGGAGGACAAAGAGCCAAUUGUGAGGUAGCUUUGUUAAAUUAAUUGUUAUUGUAUUGGACAUCAAUUGGUUGGUUUGUACUUUGUAUUAUAUGUGGAAACAGGGGCACAACAUAGUGGGGGCGGUCCCCUCCCGAACUUUUCGCUCAGUAGUGGAUAGUAUGUAGUUUUCGUAUAGAAAUUUUUGGGUAUAUACGUUUUUGACCCCUGGUCAAAAAUCUCAAGCUUUGCCACUGUGUGGAAAUAUUAUUUACUUAUAUCAAUAGGUUGGUUUGUAUUACACUAAAGGCUGGAAUGGUGGGUUGGCAUUAUGCCCUCUUAAAACUUCUAACUUUGCCUUUUUUUUUCUAGAUGGUGGUGGAAAUUCAAGCUAGAAGAUCAAAGUUUAUGGAUAAGACUAAUCUUGGAUAUUCAUCACACACCUAAGACUUGGCUUUAAAUUUUGUGCUUUAAUUUUUACACAGGGACACUUUCUAUCUUCUCUUAACAACAAUCUCUAGCACUAAAGGUAGUCUCAAGAAGAUGAUGAUGUUGUUGGAUGUUUAGACACGAGGAUAAGAUCUUUUGUGGCUAGGCGCAAUGCUGUUACAUCUGUAGUGUGGGCUAUCAGGUCAUGUUUUUGUUUCUUCAUGCAAGUUACAAUACAUAUAUAUUGAUGUCUUGGGGUAAUAAAAGACCUUGACCAGUUAUUUUGUGUGGUAUCCUUCUAAAAAGUUAUUAUAGUAGUCUUUUUGAGGUUUAGAAACGAGGACUGUACGUUCAGAAAAUAUAUAGACUGUAACUUCAGGCAUUCAAUCUUUUCAUUGUUAUUUUUGGUAGAGCACUUGUUUAUUUGGGCAACGGAUAUGGUUUGAAGUAAGAAUGUUUACCAAAAUUCUUGUAUUAUGUAGGAAGUCAUACUUGUAGAGCUUGAUGGAGACAUAGAUUACUACAUGCCUGUUGAACUUGGAGGUAGUGGUGGAAUGUUGAGAAAAACUAGUUGCUGGAAAUGCGCUAAAGGAUUGAAGAUGGUCAUUAUAGAAAAAACAGUUGAGCUUGAAACUAUGCGAAAAGAGUUUGCCAGCCAGCGACACAACUUGGAAGCUAUGAUGCAGAAGGUUAUGAAACAAGUAGUUGAAGAUCGAGAUGAGUAGAAUGUUUUCACUUUUUUAUUCUUGUAAUUGACUGUAGAGUUAUUUAACUUUCGGCAAACAUGUUGAAGUACACACUUUGAUUAUCAAUGAUAUCUUUGUUAUUAUUA